AAACCGCCUAGAGGUAAACGGGUGGAUCCGCAAAGUCGGCCCGCGGAAUUCAGCUCGGAAGGCCUGCGAGCCCGCAGGUGGGUCGGGGAUCUUUGUCGACCCUCCCGCCGCGGGUCCUCGCGUCGACCGUGUGCACUUUCCGCGGGCAGAGCGCCACGACCGGUUCUCGGGCGGUCAGAAGGCGGCGGGGAUGGUAGGCGUGCGCUUCGGCGCGCGCUGGUAUAGCCCCGCCUGUCCCGAUCCGCUCGAGGACUGAGGAGCCGCCGCCGGCGUAGGCCGCCUCGCCUUCCCGGGAGGUUCGACCGGCAGAGACUGGGCAACCGUGUCUGCCGACUGCCCUCCGGUGACAGGACUGGGGUGGGCCCGCCGGCACAGGGUCGGUGGCGAAUCGGUCGGCCCUCCACCCGACCCGUCUUGAA
rnacentral:rRNA from 1 species